rnacentral:rRNA from 1 species
UACGAAGGGGGCUAGCGUUGUUCGGAAUUACUGGGCGUAAAGGGCGCGUAGGCGGCUCUGAUCGUCGGAUGUGAAAGGCCUGGGCUCAACCUGGGAAUGGCAUCCGAUACGGCGGGGCUGGAGUGUGGGAGAGGUUGGUGGAAUUCCCAGUGUAGAGGUGAAAUUCGUAGAUAUUGGGAAGAACACCGGUGACGAAGGCGGCCAACUGGACCACAACUGACGCUGAGGCGCGAAAACGUGGGGAGCAAACAGG